AUACGAAUAGUCAAAUAACAAAAGUCAAUAACAGGUUGAAAAACAAUAAAAACUACUACAAAUGAGCAUUAUGCUGUGUCGUCUCGUCAUCAAGUCUUUUCCCGUCGUGCUUUUCGUCUACGCAGUCGGUGCAGAGCAAAUUGUAAUUUUAACAACAUUCUAACGAUAUAAAUCAUCACGAAAUUUUCAAGGAAUUGUAAUAAGGCGCUACAAAGGCUACCCAUGAGGAUUUUUUUCAGGCAAUGGAAUUACGCGGGGUCCUAGGGGGACAGAAUUGCCAGGGGGCACCUUACCAAAGAGUAUAGAAGCACUCUUUGACCUUACUGUCUAUGGGGGGCACUCAAUUGCUCAUGACACCUGCUGCAGAAUCCGACGAGCCCAUGUUGUAAAUAAUUUGUUGAUAUUAAUUUUUUAAUUCAUAUAUGUAAAUAUUGUAAAACUUCCCCACGUUUUGUGGUGUACAGUAACAUUUUAAAGUCGACGGUUUAAAGGCCAUUCUGAAUAAAUAACUGUUGUAUAUUUAUUGUUACUUCUUUCAGAUCCUUUUCUUGGUGUGUCUUGAUGUUUUCUAUUGGCUAAAGAGUAACAUGCCUCUGUGAAACUGACAAUCUCGGGUAGGAGCUGCUGGUUUGUGGUUGGCAGUAUGGAUCUCGGUCUGCGACUCAUGAGGAGCUGGGCUGGAGACAUGAAGAGGUUGUCAACAGGUGAAGAGGUCUGAAGCUAAUACCUGCCUGGGUCUGAUUGGUAUUUCAUGAGGAAUCAUAGGUAUUUGAAUUAUGUUGCACCAGGC